rnacentral:rRNA from 1 species
GAGAGUUUGGGAGAAGUUUUGUUUUUGUUUAUUAUGAGAAAUAUUUUGGUGAGGCUUGGACCAAGAUCCUACAAUUAUUGGAGGGAGGAGUGGUUGAAAUUAAACAAUGAUAAAUUUGAUUUAGUUGAGUAUUAAAUAGAUAAAAUAAGUGCCAGUAAUCACGGUUAUACUUAUUAUGGUUUAAGGUUGUAUGUAAUAUUUUAUUAGUGGAGUUUCUGAUCUGUGGCGAGUUUAAUGGGGGCGGAUUGGAAAAGAAAAAAUUUAUUAAAGUGGAUUAGAUACCCAUGUAAAAAAUAAAUAUAGAUAGAUUAAAAAUGAAAUAUAAAUAAUUAGACGGUUUGGCUAAAUACAGAGGUGCUUGUUUUAUAAUAUGAUAGUCCGCAUUAAAUCUCCACCCUUUAAUAAAGUGUAUGUCCGUAAGGUACAAGAUAAUUUUUGUAUGGAUCAGGUCUCCAUGCUAUUUGGGUGGUUUACUAUGAGCAGCAAUAAGGUUUUUUGUUCAGGCUUGAGAGUGCGUGAUUUAAAGGGGAUUUGUAAGUAAAUAAAUGUUAGUAUCUUUUUUUGAAGGAGGUUAGCCGGAGUACUCACCGCCCGCCAAUAAGAUUGUAAACUUUUAUAAAGCGUAACAAGGUAAGUUUUCUAGAAGGAGAACUUGGUAGAGU